rnacentral:rRNA from 1 species
UCCGCACCUCCCUCUAUGCGGAAAGGGCUAAGCGCCAUCAUUUCCCUGACGGCGUGGUAGAUCUGAAAGCACCGGAAUGGAGUGAUCUUCGACAACACUCGCCAAUCCACACAGCACCUUCUCGACCUCAUUCGAGACGAGGCAUGGUUGUGGGCAAGGGCAGGAGCAACCGGAGUAGUCAACAUCAUUGACACUGGUUGA